rnacentral:tRNA from 1 species
AUGGCGUCUGACUUCGAAUCAAAAGAUGAGGGUUCGAGUCCCUCUGUGGUCU